GCAUGUCUAAGUCGCUCUACGUACUAGUCUUCUGUAAGUAAGUGUCUUUGUAUCCUAUUGAGAAUUAGGAACAGUGAAACAAAAUGAUUAAAUCCUUUAAAAUUGCCAUACUUUCCUUCAUGAGAUUGAGUUGGUAACUUGGUAUAUGUGUUCCUGAAAUUUGGAGAUGCAAUGACAUGGCUUGAUGAUGUUAUUUGAUUAACAAGAACUCGUGUGAGAGUAUGAUAGAGUUUAAUGUCAUGUUGACGCUACGCUAUGAAGAAUGUUGAACUUAGGAUUAAUCCUUGAAAGGAACGCUUGGUUAUGAGGAAACAUGAUGGAGUUGUUCUAAUGUGAGAAUUUGAGCCACAAGGGAAGAGAAAGAGGACUCUAUAUGUGGAUAACGAGAGAUGAAAUGGAGGGAAGUAUUCGGACUUGAUUUUAUUGUGAUCGGUGUAGGUUUCUUGAAUCUAGAUUUCAUGGUGGUUAACUUAUUGAACCUUCCCUGAUGUUGUGCUAUUUGUUGUGACGGUUGUGUUGUGUAAUUCGGUUGUUUCACGACUUGUUGACUUGGUUAUGAAUUUCGAGGACGAAAUUUCUUUUAAGGAGGGUAGGAUGUAGAGACCCAUAAUUAGUUUUUCAAAUUUUAAAUGUUUAAUAUGUAUUUGGAUUAUCAAAGUUGGGAUAACAAUGUAGAUAUGAGUUGGGUCAAUGUGAGAUGACUUGUAAGUUGUGGGAGUUGACGUAAUACAAUAGGAGUGAAAGGGUGUAAGUGUUAUUUGUGCUAUAUAAGUCAAAAAAAAUGGGGCAGGAAACCAUUUUUUUUUCACUUUCCCUUUUCUUUUUUUUUUCUCUUCUUUGGCGUCUCUCUCUCUCUCUCGGCUCUCACCUCUCUCACCUUCUCUCUUCGAUUUCAUCGACCACGAGUGAGACUUUUGAAAAAUCCCAAGUACUAAAGUUGUUUUACGCGACGAGAGCUUCCUAUCCAUCGAAGAAAAUUCACGAUCGGAGCACUUCGAAGUUUCCUCCAUAUUCGGGCUUGCUUCUAACCCUCGAGGUACUUGUCAUGACACUUAGCUUGGAUUGCAUGGAGUGCACAUUGAGACGUCUCUUGAGCGCUUCAUUGGAACCUUUAAGGAGUGGUUUAUCAUCAAGUUUGAUUCAUGUCAUGUACUUUACUUGCAAUUGAAGGUUGUAUCUUUUGAUUAGAUCAUAUGUAAAGCUAUGUACAAACUCCUCUCCUUGAUGAUUAUGAAACCCAUUUAAGUGUAAACGUUUGGGAGACUUUAUGUAAAAAAAAAAAAAAAAAAAUUUAGAGAGAAGAA